rnacentral:rRNA from 1 species
GUCCUUUCUUGCAAGUACAGUACGAAUAAGCAUCGGCUAACUCCGUGCCAGCAGCCGCGGUAAUACGGAGGAUGCGAGCGUUAUCCGGAUUUAUUGGGUUUAAAGGGUGCGUAGGCGGGGAUUUAAGUCAGCGGUGAAAGUUUGAGGCUCAACCUUAAAAUUGCCGUUGAAACUGGGUUUCUUGAGUGUAUUUGAAGUAGGCGGAAUUCGUUGUGUAGCGGUGAAAUGCAUAGAUAUAACGAAGAACUCCAAUUGCGCAGGCAGCUUACUAAACUACAACUGACGCUGAAGCACGAAAGCGUGGGUAUCAAACAGGAUUAGAUACCCUGGUAGUCCACGCAGUAAACGAUGAUUACUAGCUGUUUGUGAUAUUACAAUAAGUGGCUAAGCGAAAGCGAUAAGUAAUCCACCUGGGGAGUACGCCGGCAACGGUG